rnacentral:misc_RNA from 1 species
CCGAGUACUACACUCAUAACCCUUUGUGAACCUUUAUAACCUGUUGCUUCGGCGGCGCGCCUCUCUGGGCGUGCCCGCCGGUAUCAUCAGAAUCUCUGUUCGAACCCGACGAUACAUCUGAGUGUUCUAAGCGAACUGUUA